GGGGGAGUUCACACAGAAAU
rnacentral:sRNA from 1 species